UGAGCUCACAACCCCGGGUUUAGAAGGCCAAUGCUCAAACCACUGAGCUAGCCCUCCCUUCUUCAGUGGCCCUUGCUUAUUCUGAAGAUACAUUACUCAUUAAGAAGCUGAUUGUACAAGGUACUGCAUGUCCUCAGGUCUUACUUACGCCAUUGGGAAUUAAGGACAAUAUUUAAUUAAACCUUGACAAACUGACAAGCAUUUUCUAAUGGUGGGAAUUCUUAAAUCAGGGAGAGAAAGGGAAACAAAUAUCUCAGAAAUUGGUGUCACACUAUUACUAAAUGCAUUCAUCCAUUCACCCAUUCAUCUAUAGGUUUUUCUUCUACUGCACUAUUAUCAUACAGUCUGAGAGCUGUGUUUGUUGUAGUCCCGUAACUGUACUAAACUACAGACUCUGGCACUUCUUUUGGAAGUAUGAAUUCAAAGUUAGAGAGUCAUCUUAUCUACUGUCAACUUUACCUCCACCUGGGGAAGCUGGCUGAAAAAUUGUUCAACCGCAUGAUCACAUUUCUGCUGAGGCAGACAAAAGAGUGGGAGGUUGUUUGUCAGCUUUCGAUGGGCAGAAUUGUAGCAUUCUGGAAUAUUUCCGCUGAUCACAGUGCUUUAAUAACAACAAACACAGACCUUCCUUCAAAAUAUGUUGGGCAAUAAAGAAACUGGUAAAAGAGAAGAUAAGGAUAGUUGCAGAGGUUAAAAGAGGCAGAUCACAAGAAGUGUAUACAGUCUCAGGCUUAAUGGCUUUUCACGUUUGCCUGGCAUAGCCAGAGCUAUGAAGAUUAUAUGACUUUCACUGCAAGGCAAUUGAUAGCAGAGUCUGUUUUAUGAACACACAGUAUGGAAACUGCAUGUGAUGCGGCAAGAAAAGAAGGUAACAGUGGAGGAGACGGGCUCAUAUUGCUAUUUUUUGCAAAGAUGCUUGUUUUUACAUAUGCAGUAGGUUGAUUUGUGAUGGCGAAGAACUAACAUUCUGCCACAUGUUGUCUUUGAUGUGGACAUAGAAAGAAGGAGACAGAGACACUGUAAUAUACUUAAGUGAGGAGUAUGCUGUGAUAAAUGAAGUGGGUGGGGGGUAGCUCCCUUUUAUGGACAUCCAACCAGCCAGUUAGCUAUAAAGUCCA